GAUGAACGCUAGCUACAGGCUUAACACAUGCAAGUCGAGGAGCAGCAUGAACUUAGCUUGCUAAGUUUGAUGGCGACCGGCGCACGGGUGAGUAACACGUAUCCAACCUGCCGAUGACUCGGGGAUAGCCUUUCGAAAGAAAGAUUAAUACCCGAUGGCAUAGUUCUUCCGCAUGGUAGAACUAUUAAAGAAUUUCGGUCAUCGAUGGGGAUGCGUUCCAUUAGGUUGUUGGCGGGGUAACGGCCCACCAAGCCUUCGAUGGAUAGGGGUUCUGAGAGGAAGGUCCCCCACAUUGGAACUGAGACACGGUCCAAACUCCUACGGGAGGCAGCAGUGAGGAAUAUUGGUCAAUGGACGAGAGUCUGAACCAGCCAAGUAGCGUGAAGGAUGACUGCCCUAUGGGUUGUAAACUUCUUUUAUACGGGAAUAAAGUGAGGCACGUGUGCCUUUUUGUAUGUACCGUAUGAAUAAGGAUCGGCUAACUCCGUG
rnacentral:rRNA from 1 species